rnacentral:misc_RNA from 1 species
AACCAUUCUCACCUGCGGCUAGACCUGCGGAGGGAUCAUUACACAAUAAACAUAUGAAGGCUGCACCGCCAACAGGCGGCAAGGCUGGAGUAUUUUAUUACCCUUGUCUUUUGCGCACUUGUUGUUUCCUGGGCGGGUUCGCCCGCCUCCAGGACCACAUGAUAAACCUUUUUUAUGCAGUUGCAAUCAGCGUCAGUACAACAAAUGUAAAUCAUUUACAACUUUCAACAACGGAUCUCA